GACGAACGCUGGCGGCGUGCCUAAUACAUGCAAGUAGAACGCUGAAGGAGGAGCUUGCUCUUCUGGAUGAGUUGCGAACGGGUGAGUAACGCGUAGGUAACCUGCCUGGUAGCGGGGGAUAACUAUUGGAAACGAUAGCUAAUACCGCAUAACAGUAGAUGUUGCAUGACAUUUACUUAAAAGGUGCAAUUGCAUCACUACCAGAUGGACCUGCGUUGUAUUAGCUAGUUGGUUGGGUAACUGCUCACCAAGGCGACGAUACAUAGCCGACCUGAGAGGGUGAUCGGCAACACUGAGACAGAGACACGGCCCAGACUACUACGAGAGACAGCAGUAGGGACUCUUCGGCAAUGGACGGAAGUCUGACCAAGCAACGCCGCGUGAGUGAAGAAGGUUUUCGGAUCGUAAAGCUCUGUUGUAAGAGAAGAACGAGUGUGAGAGUGGAAAGUUCAAACUGUGACGGUAUCUUACCAGAAAGGGACGGCUAACUACGUG
rnacentral:rRNA from 1 species